GUGGGGAAUCUUGCGCAAUGGGCGAAAGCCUGACGCAGCCAUGCCGCGUGAAUGAUGAAGGUCUUAGGGUUGUAAAAUUCUUUCACCGGGGACGAUAAUGACGGUACCCGGAGAAGAAGCCCCGGCUAACUUCGUGCCAGCAGCCGCGGUAAUACGAAGGGGGCUAGCGUUGCUCGGAAUUACUGGGCGUAAAGGGCGCGUAGGCGGACAGUUUAGUCAGAGGUGAAAGCCCAGGGCUCAACCUUGGAAUUGCCUUUGAUACUGGCUGUCUUGAGUACGGGAGAGGUGAGUGGAACUCCGAGUGUAGAGGUGAAAUUCGUAGAUAUUCGGAAGAACACCAGUGGCGAAGGCGACUCACUGGCCCGUUACUGACGCUGAGGCGCGAAAGCGUGGGGAGCAAACAGGAUUAGAAACCCUGGUAGUCC
rnacentral:rRNA from 1 species